CCCUUAGAUGUUCUGGGCCGCACGCGCGCUACACUGAUACGUUCAGCGAGUAUAUAACCUUGAUUGGAAAAUCUGGGUAAUCUUUUGAAUGCGUAUCGUGCUAGGGAUAGAUUAUUGCAAUUAUUAAUCCUGAACGAGGAAUUCCUAGUAAACGCAAGUCAUCAGCUUGCAUUGAUUACGUCCCUGCCCUUUGUACACACCGCCUGUCGCACAAACCGAUUGAAUGAUUCGGUGAAAAUUUUGGACAUCGAGAGUGGUGAUUAAUUUCGCUGCUCUUAAAUGGAAAGAAUUUAAACCUAAUUAUUUAGAGGAUUGUGAAGUCAUAACA
rnacentral:rRNA from 1 species